rnacentral:rRNA from 1 species
GAUGAACGCUGGCGGCGUGCCUAAUACAUGCCAGUCGAGCGAACAGACGAGGAGCUUGCUCCUCUGACGUUAGCGGCGGACGGGUGAGUAACACGUGGAUAACCUACCUAUAAGACUGGGAUAACUUCGGGAAACCGGAGCUAAUACCGGAUAAUAUAUUGAACCGCAUGGUUCAAUAGUGAAAGACGGUUUUGCUGUCACUUAUAGAUGGAUCCGCGCCGCAUUAGCUAGUUGGUAAGGUAACGGCUUACCAAGGCAACGAUGCGUAGCCGACCUGAGAGGGUGAUCGGCCACACGGGAAGUGAGACACGGUCCAGACUCCUACGGGAGGCAGCAGUAGGGAAUCUUACGCAAUGGGCGAAAGCAUGACGGAGCAACGCCGCGUGAGUGAUGAAGGUCUUCGGAUCGUAAAACUCUGUUAUUAGGGAAGAACAAAUGUGUAAGUAACUAUGCACGUCUUGACGGUACCUAAUCAGAAAGCCACGGCUAACUACGUG